AAAAGUUCAAACGGAGCACUCAACGUCUCCCUCACCUUAGCUGAUACGCUUCUUUGUAGAAGGGGCAUUUCCGUAAAUCCAUCCUUCGACAUUAUUCAGCUCCCCUCUCCUUACGUAAGCUCCCCAAGACACUGUCCAAUCCAACCCCAAACCUAGAGCCUCUCUCUCUCUCUCUCUCUCUCUCUCUCUCCUCAAAGUUUUUGCCAAUGCCGGCGACGAGGACGGCCUGACAGAGGAGGAGGAAGCAUGGCGAAGUUCUUUGGGGACGCGGCGUCGGUGCUGAUGAAGGUGCUGAUGAGGAAGAGCAUCAGCCUGUACGCCGAGUUCUCUUACCUCUUCACCGACCUCGCCUCCCUCGUCGUGUCGGCUCUCCGGUUCUCCACCAUCGUGGCCAGGCAACCUUCUUCUUUCCCUCCUCAUCCUUCUACGUCUUCCACUUCUGCUGCUGCUGCUGCUGCUUCGACCUCUGCUUCUUCUGCCAGAAGGUACUCGCCGAUCCUGAUGUCCAUGGCCAUCCGACACCGUGUGUACUGAGCUCGAUCGAUGCGGUUGACAUUGUGCUGCUGGAUCUUCCUUUUCUUGCCCUCUUGUCUUUUGGGGUUGGCUUACGUGGGGUGUUCGGAACUUGCCCAUGAUUCGUUCGUAUGGCGAUGAGGGGAAUCUAUGCAAGUCUCUGGUUUCCCAGGCGCAAAAUGUUUGUUCUUCUUGAUGAUGGGAUGGUUCUUGCUGGGGAUACUAUUUGGGACGCCGGUUUGUUUUUAUGAUUAUCGAGAUUUCCAGCCGCGGGACAGGUUUGAGAUUUCGUUAUGUAUGGGUUCCUGUAGGCUUGCGACCGAUCUGCGAUCUGUUUCGCAGAUGAUUAGGAAACUCGAAUUCAACGAGACAUUUUGCUCGAUUGUGUGAUGAGACUGUGUGAUGAGACGCAUCAUGUAUCAGAACAUGUAAUAACCGAUAAGUACUAAUUUACUCCUUUUCCUUUUCACAAUCUGAACAAUGGUUUUUCCAAUCAUCGUGAUUGUCUGAAUUUAGGAAAGUAAGGUGGUUUUAUUAGAUCACGUUGUUGACACCCAAAAAUGGCAAAGUGUUGCGAGAUAGCCGAUGAGCAGGGUUUGAUCGAGAAGAACAGAUUUGAUCUGAGAAUUAGGGCAGUCGAGAAGAUCGGCAAGUCGAUGUCUAGCACAAUCGACAAGAUUCUUCAUCCAGAAUUCAAGAAUUGAUCGAUAACAGCAGGCUCUAUUAGAUUUUGACCAAGUAUAAGAAGACAAUCGAUGAACGGAGUGAAAAAAUGAUUGCUUUGCUGAUUAAGAGGCAAGGGUGGCAAAUUGACGCGCGUCUGUAACUGUCAAAUGGUCAAAUCGAUAAUUUAGGUACUUGUAACUUCUUAUAGAUAAAUGUUGUUGAUGAAUGAAACUAUGGGUGAAUUUGUGAUUAUUCAAUAACUGUGUAUAUGUAAAUGUCGAUGGUGGGUUAUAAACACUUUCAGUGUAUACGUUGUAAAGGUUACUCAAUCAAUCUUAGAACAUCCAAUGUUAUUUUUCAUAAUCCUUUAAUUUGUAGCAUUAUUUACAUUGCUAGCAACUAUUGUUUUUGGUAUUCUUACCAUUAAGUUUCCAGCCAUUUACUUUCCUGUCUAAAAUCAAUAAAAAUGCCUUCACAACCAUUUAUCAAUUUAUUCAAAUCCAUCACACUUAAGGAUUUUUCACUUUUCUGGCGAAAAUGAUGAAAGUGCAAAAUCUGUCUUUUACGAUUUAGCUACUAGUCAACUGAGUCUUUAAUGUUUUAAAAAAUGUUCAAUCAAGUGAUAAACUUGUUGCUAAUAGAUUUAUAAUGUUGGAAACUCGAUGUGGCUUUCAAGCUCAUUUGUGGCCAAAUGGUAUUAAUGAAAGCUCGAGUCAGAGACAUGUAAGAUAUCCAACGUCAAAACCCCAUUAAUAGUGAGUUUAGGAUUUGAUUAUACAUAACAUUAAGUACUUAUUCUCACUUAUUACCUAGAAGCAAAUGGAUUUCAUGAUAAACCUUGCAUCUGAGCCUUUGCUUGCCGGGGGAAAGGAAGUCCAGUGCACUUGCCAAAUAAAUAGGUUGGAGGAAGGCCACUCUGAUGACAACUUGUUCACUAAGGUCCAUAUUGUCGUAAUUCGUAUAUAAUGUCUUGUAACAUAUAAUAACUCAGAAAGUUAAUGAUCGCGAGUGAGCUUCGGUUCUUAUAUGAUGCAAUGCCUAUGAAUUCCCUGAGAAAUUUAGGGGCAACUCGAGCGAGGAUACAAGUUCUCGCCCAAAUAAUUUGGUUUCUUGAAGUAAACCCUAACCAAACUUCUUCUGACCAAACAACACAAGAAAAGGCCACCAAACAGAUGCAAGGUGAAACGUAAAUGGUUGCUUCCUAUAAAAGGUCAACAUUAUGUACAUGCCCACCUGUAUACAUUUGAUUCAAAACCCUCGUCUACAAUCUCCGAUUUCCGUUGGUCUGAUGGGUAGUUGGAUUUGAUACCGUGCCGCUUUCCGAUACUUCCAGCAAGCAAGCUAUUUCCAUCUUCUAGUUCACUCUAAUUACAGAGAACUUGUCACCCCCUCUCCCUCCCUCUCUCCCUCCCUCUUUUAAGUUUUGGCCUUUUUUCGUCUUUUUAACUUUUGGAGGGGAGGGAUUUGACCUAAAUCUCUCCCUCCCCUCUUUAUUGCUUUUUUUUUUUCUCUUAUUUCUUUCCUUACUCUCCGAAUCUAGAUUUAGAUUUGGGAUUUUGAUCUCCCAAUCUUAGGUUUGAGAGUUUUUCUCUCUAAUCUAAUUUUAGAUUUAAGAGUUUUAAUGAACAAGUACUUCACCUCCAAUCUCAAUGGUGUUCACAGUAGUUUCGGUGUCAAAUUUGUACUCGUUCAAUUUUGGAUAGCUCGCUUUCACAGGUCUUAUAUUGUAGGAGGCCUGUGUCACCAAUUGAAACGGACAAAACAUGUACAGCCUUAGAUAGAAAUUUUAAAAAAAUCACUUUUUUUUAAUAUGUGUCCAACCAUUCUUUCUUGAAUUUAACACAUAUUGGCACGCCAAUUCUCGUUCGUUUGAUUUUAAUUAUGUAUUUUAAACUUAAUUAUACUUUUUCAAUAAGAAAAACUCAUUCAUGUUUUAUUAAAGUGUUUCGAGUAUAAAUAAUGUAUUUUCUAUUACUCAUAUUUCAUAUUACAUAUAUUGUAAUACAUGUUUUUAUUUUUAAAAAUGACUUCAGGCCAAUCCAGGCCAUUUCUGGCUCGAAAAUCUCGGGCCCGAAGGCCCAAACCCGCUCGGAUGGAAAAAGUAUAUAUGAUAAACUCGAAAUUCUAGCUAUGGCAUUAGCCUCCAAAAUUAGGCUAGUCUACGCUUUCGGGCUUCGGCUCUUUCUUCUUCCCUUCUUUUGAGCUGGGAUUUAUUUUUAGUUUAAUUUUUUUGCAAAAAUUUGGGCGUGUUUUGACAAAACUGCCCUUGAUUUGCUUAAUAUUGGGUACCUUGAUAAUUCGUUCAAUUAAGUAUCCUUCCAAUAUAUGGCUCAACGUGGCCCUUCUGGCAAAUAAAGUGCCACGUCAUCAAGCUUUUGCUGACUUGGCUUGUCCACUCACUGAAAAAAAACUGCAUUUUUGCUCUGUUUCUUAUGUUUAAUGUUCAAUUCACUCAUCAAUCAACAACACAUUCAAUGCGUCGGGGACAAGGUUUAUGAUGUAGCCUGUGUGUUGCAUCAUUGUCCUUGCAAAAACAUGACCUUAAAAUUGAACAUGUGUUCGUCUUGUCCAUUGCAUUUCCAUAAAUUGGGAUUAUAAACUCAAUUCGAAAAUGAAUUUUAAUAAACUUCCCAUAUCUCCUUCCAUGUUUUUUGUUCGACAUGCGACCCUAAUGCUACUCACUGUCAUGCCAGGUGUCAUCACUUGUCUAGCGAUGGGUGCUGCACUGUCAUUUGCUGCACUUGGUGCCAUCAAUCCUAGCAUCUGUGCUGACACCUCUCUUCCACUUUAGGUAUUGUAUACAAAAAAGAAAAAGAAAAAAAAGACAAUUUUUGUAAUUAACAUGGGGUUGAUUUGAGCGAGUAUAGAACUCGGUGUUAAAUUCGACUUAGUUAUUGGUAAUUUGCCAAUAAUAUAAAUAGUUGUUGAUCACAUGAUAAUUAUUGAUGACUAAGGAAUAUAGAUGUCGACAUACGAUAGUGUGAUUGGUCAACAAUUAUCACUUAACGGGUUGGGUAGGUGUUGAAUAUAGAGGAAAGGAAGAAAGAGGACAAAGUGGGAAUGUGGAUUGAAGAUAAAGAUUCCAAUUAAGGGUCAAACCUGGUGACGCUUAAGGAGUUGUAACUGCUUGUUGGUAAGGUCGAUGUGCGAUUAUAGAGCCUAAAAAUAUGAAGAUGUGGUUGUAAUGUUAUACUUUUUAGUAGCCUAUAUAAAGCCGUGUGUAAUUGUUAUGAGGACAUAACUACCAUCACAAUAACUUAUUUAUUUUCACAAUUUAUCCAUACUCACAUUUCAUUCCCUUGAAAAUUUAAUUAUUCUCGAUCAUUAUUAUGCAAUUCAAUUUUUGUCCGAAUCACCGCUAGACCUGUUCAAUAAAAAAUGAAGAUCAACCUUUGUGAAAUGUAUUUCACCGAUUUGGACAGCUUUCAAUCUCUAGUGAAACAUAUAUCUAGUGCUAACUUCCAUAAACUAGGCAUUGCGUUUUCUAGAAAAUUCCAUAAUAAAAUUCUUUGAUCCCAUCCGAUUCACUAAGACAUCGAGAAAAGCAAAUAGUGUUUCACAAAAUUUUGGAUAUGAUAAUUGAAUCGGUAUAAUAUUUACAAUCUUAUGAAUAUAAAAAAAUAAAUUACUCGUGAUGAAUUAUUAGAUCCAAAAGUAAUAAAGAAUUAAGUGUACUAAUUUGUCAAAAAAAGUUUUGUUGACACCUAAAUUUUGGCGAUCCAUUUAGUCAUUUAUUACAUAAAAAUUAGGGGUUAAUUUUAUCCUUAAAAAAAUAUAUUAAUUGCAUAGCUACAUUUAGUUUGCAUAUUUUGCAUUUUAUUUACUGGACCGGUGGCGGAUGGAUCGAAUUGGUGGUUUUGAAUUUUAAAUUAAUAGGCCGGGCUAGGCCCAUGAAAUGAUAAAAUUAACCCAAGCCCGUCGUUGUUGUUUAAUUGAUUAUCUUGUGAAAAUUUAAGAUUUGAUGCGAUAUUAUGAUGAUUUUUGGAAAUUAAAAAAUCGCACUGUAAUCUUAAAGUUGGGAAUAUUAAGGAGGAUAAGGAAUAUUCUAAAAUAUUUUGUUGCAGAUGGAUAUCUCGAAAGAUUUUAGAAUUGGAUAAUAGAGUUUUAUCUAAAGUGAAUUAUUUGGAAAAUCUUCACAAAAAAAUUCCAGUUUAUCUUUAAUCGCUGAGUCAGCAUAUAAAAUCUUCAAUGGUCGAGCGAGUCAGCUUGGAAGAUUUUAAUAAAUGAUUUCAAUGGCCGAGUGAGUCAGCAUACACGAUAAUCUCGAAAGAUGAUCUUCAGCGAUUGAGUUGUUAUGCAAAUCUUCGUAGGUUGAGCAGACUAAGUUUUCACUCUAUAAAUGGGGGUGGCCUUCUCUUCGUCCGAGGGGGAGCUUUUUUUGAAAAAAUUCAGAAAUAAGGGAAGAGAAAGGUAAAAAGAAGCUUUGCUUCUGCAGUAAAAAAAAGAAAGAGAGAAAGAGUACGAAGGAAGAGGGAGAGUGACGUGAGAGAGGGAGAGAGAGGAAGAAAAGUCAAAAGGACAAAAAAGGAAAAGUCAGAACGUGAGAGAGAGAGAGGAGAAAAGGUAAAGUGAAAAGGGGGUGAUUUGACCCCUACUGUUCAUCGUCUCCCCCAACUUGCUGCCCACGUUGCUGCUCCAUCCGUGACGCUCGUUGCAGCUCCAUCCGCACUGCUCAGAGCUCCUUCGCCUCGCCACGCUGCAGGACGUGUGUGCGACCACCACCGCUCCUCGCCUUCCACGAAGCCCGACGCCCUCCUCCGCUUUUCGCCGGUAAUCGAUCCGCUCAACGUCGCCUGCUGUUACUCGGAGCCGAAGCCCUGCGACCACUGCCCAUUCCCCUUCCGACGUUGCUGCGGCUCCUGUUCUGCUCGUUGUCGCGCCUACUGCGUCUCCACCACCGCCGGCAGUUGAACCGCAAGCCAUCGCCGCUCCGCCGGUUGUCCGCGACCGCCCAGCGCCGAUUUGCCUCUCACCAGUCCGACGGAGCUACCGCCUUGCCGCACCGCAACCCAGCCGUGCUGACUCGUGUGCCCUGCUCUGAGUACUGCCCGUGCCCCAAAAUCGCGACGCCACUGGAGCCCCAAAUCAGUCGUACCGCCGAGCCGAUUUGCCCUCUGUUCGCGAUCUGCCUGCAACCCGCGCUGGUCCGAGAUCUGCCGUCUUGCCCCGCCGCGCCUCCUUCGCCCGUGCCGCCCCUGUCUCGCCUGACCCGUGACCAGCUGUGCCUGCUGCGGCCCUUGCCGGAGUUCCCCUUCGCCGGACCUUCGCCGGACCGAUUGACCCGCUGCCCUUGGAGACCCACGGUUACAAGCAGGAAAAGAAAAACAAAAAAAGAAAAGGAAAGGGAAAUUAGGUAGUUUUAUUCUUUUUCUAUUUACUUUAUUUUAUUUAUUUCUUUUAAGUUCAGGAGUAAUCUUUAUUUUAUGGAUUUUGUAGGCAUUAUCCAUAGGUCUUCCCCAAAAUUAUUGUAAUUACUAAUUUGAUCCGUAAGAUGUCGGAUAAUUUUUUUAAUUAUAUUAAUUUUUGGGGUUUGUUGAUAUGUUUUAAGUGCUGGAUCAAUGUAAUUAUUAAUUUGAUCCGUAAGAAUUCGGAUCAGAUUUUUGGUUAUUUUGAACUCUUUGUCGUGAUAAUUAGGGUUAUGAUAAUCGUUAAUUUGACAUGUGAGACAACGGGUUAUUUUUUCCAAUUAUUUUAAUUCUUUAUUUGAUUGCAUAUCUUGAUUGUUUAGAUUUAAUGUUUAGCUGAUAAUUGCUUGUUUUGGAUAAUCACUAAAAAAAUCAAAAAAAAAUAUUCGAAUUAAGAUUUAGUUUGUUUUAGAAUAUUUCUUGUUAUCUUGCAUAUCUAGGAUAAGGAUUUCAGUUUGAAAAAUAUAAAAAAUGCAUUAAUUUAGGAUUUUAGUUGCAUGUUUAAUUACGUGGCAAUUUUAAAUUUUGAAUUUUAAAUAAAAAAUAAAAGAUAAAAAAUAUCAUGCAUAUGUCAUGUAGAAUUAGGGCUUGCUCCGCACGUCAUUGCAUAUUAGAUCUAUUACAUGUUAGAUUAAGAUAAUAUCUUAAUUUAAAUUAGGAUUUAAUGUGACUUAAUCCUUAGUUUAAAUUAGAUAGAAUUUUAAUCUAGCUAGAUCAUUUUUGCAUUUUUAAAUAGAAAUAUCAAAUGCACGUCAUUUAGUUUUUAUUAGGUUCAUUUAAUUAGAACUUCCUUGUCAUUAGACUAAAUCAUUUAAUAAAUGUCGCAUGAUAUAUAACUCGAGUGCUAAAUUAUUUGCGGCAUGUCAUCUUAGUUUAAAUAAUUUUGUAUGUCAUUGCAUCGCAUUGCAUGUCAUUAGAAUUAGGUCAUUUAGAUUGCAUUUAAUUAUUGCAUUUCUUCAUGUCAUAUAGUUUAGGUCAUGCUGCCAUGUCAUAUUGGAUUAUUAACAUGCAUUGCAUAAGUCAUGAUUUUCAUUAAAUAAAAUGAAAACAAAAAUUGAAAUUGCGUGUUAAUUAGAAAUCAUAUCUAGGGCUGCUGAUGCGAAUUCUGAUUUAACAAUGCAGAUGCUUUCGUUGCUCCUAGGUAUGUUUUGCAAUAUUUAAUUGCUUUCUUGAGUGUUAAAUUGGUGGUAUGCGCACAUGUUUGAUCACCUCACAUAUUAGGAAGUUAGUUUAAAAUCAAUUCAAUUGCCAAAUAUUUUUGAAAAUGAAAAGAAUGGUACCGAAAGGGCAUUAGAGAAAUCUAAUGUAAUCAAGUCCCCGUACCCUUAGUCUUUAGUUCGUAGGAGUAAAGUAAUUAUCCCAUUAUUUUACUUAGGUAUCUAAUCGACCUAUCAUAAACUGAUUAGUGGCGACUCCUAAAUAAAAUCAAUUUUCAUGUUAAGAAUUCAAACCUAAGUCGCGAAUUGGUAUGGGCUUGGGAGAGCCCGAGUUAAGUUUAGGCUUAACAAUCCAUUAACCUAAUUUUAGGUGAUUCACACCCCGCGAAAAAUUCCGGUCGCGACAAGUUUACUAAACAAUUAUUCAGUUAAUUAAAUCGUGAUGAUGGCAUAAGCUAAAGUAGGCUACAGUGAGAUUAAAUGCUUCUUUUCUUUUUUCCUAUUAUUAUUUUCAAUAAAAACAAGUUGACCGUCCAUUCUUUCUGUCAGGGGGGUGUCGACAUAUUUCGGGGGGGAGCUUUGGACUUUUGCUCGGGGCGACGGGGUUUGAAAAGAUCGAGGGUCGUGUCGGCUCGGGAUGAGUUCAUGAUGUCGUCAUUCUGCAGCGCCUGAUCUUGUCUCCGCCGGGCCCUUCUUUUACGGUUUUGCCCUUACUCGCUCUGUAUCUCCCACGAGCUGCCACUGGAACCUAAUAUGAAAGAGUGCUUUAAAAAAAAAAAAAGCAGAAUAGAUAAGUACACUUAAAAUCCCACGUCCUAAAAGUGUAGUCAAGCCCUUAAAAUUUUAGAAAUUUGAAAGAUUUAAAAAAAAACAAUCAACAAAAUGACUUGAUUUAAUUAAUUUAAAAAAAUUUAUGAUUUAAUUGUACUUUUUAAAAAUUUUCAGAUUAAUAAAUUUUAAUACUUGAUUGGAUAUUUUUAAAGUCUUAUAACUUUCGUCAUAAAUUUUAAGAUUUCCAUUACACUUAUGAAUAUAUAUAUAUAAAUUCUUGUUCUUGCCUUGCCCUCCAUUGGUCUAGCUGCAAAUUUUUUUUAAGUACCAUCAAAGGUUGAUCAAACAUUUGUUUUUGUGAAUUUUCUAUAUUUUUCGUUUGAAGGGACAUGUUCAGGUCGAGUUUGAUUUAAAUUGAAAAUGAUAAAGAGUUUCGACAACGGUUAAAAGAGCUUUAGUUAGCUUGAUUUUGAUAUAUGACCUUUUACUAACAAGAGAUGGAUGUAUUUAUUUGGAAUCCAAGGCAUUACCGUCUGUUGCAUACCACAAACAAAGGAACCUCUUUUUUCCGGACUUGAUUAAUCGAGUCGAAGAAAUUGAAUAGGGUUUUAUCUAAUAAAUAAUUCUAGCAUUAUAGCUAAAAAAAAAUCUUGACUAAUAUUAGACACAUAUGAACUUUUCGAAUUGUAUGAUAGGAACUUUACAAAGUAAGGCCAGCCUUCGUUUCAAAGUUAUCAUCUCUCCCUCUAUAAAAGUUGUAUUCCUUGGAUAAGCUAUCAACAACAAUAAAGCAUAAAAAGUUUAAGCGGAGGAACGUUUUGCAAAAGAGCAUAUUUCACUAUCUUUUCAUGUGUCACUAGAGGAGCACCGCACAUCUAGUUUGACAAAAGGGCAUUUCGAUAAAUCCACCCCAAACCUAAAUCGGCCCAUUCGCCGAGUUCUCUUGCCUGUUCACAUGGCCAUCCUAUCAAAUAAAGUGCCACGUCAUCAUGUUUUGCUGACUUGGCUUGUCCACUCACCGAAAAUUCUUCAUUUAUGUCUCAUAUAUGCAAUGUACAAUUCAUUCAUCAUUCAACAGCCCUGCACGAGGCAGGACAAAAGUCUGAGAGUGAGUGUAGAGUAGGAAUAGGAAAAAAAAAAAAAAUAGCCCGUUAAAUGCAAGGAGGUGUGGGGUCCGUGACAUGGGAAGGGGAAUCGACUGAAAUUCUAAAAGCCCAUUUUGGUAGCCUGCAUGCUGCAUCAUCAUCCUUGCAAAACCAUAGCCUUGAAAUUGAACCUAUGCUCGUCUUGACCAUUGCAUUUCCACAAAUUUGGGAUUAAAAACUCAAUUCGAGAAUGGACUUUAAUGAACUUCCCAUCUCUCCUUCCACACUUUUUGUUCGACAUGCCGCUCUUAUGCUACUCGCCGCCACACCCAGUGCCGUUGCUUGUUAGUGAUGGGCAUUGUUAUUUCUUGCACUUAGUGCCAUCACUCUUAGGAUUUGUGCGGACAGCUUUGUCUUGCUCUUUAGGUACUAUUUACACAAAAAAAUGACCAAGUUUUUGUAAUCAAUAGAUGUCGAUUUGAGUGAGUAGAAAGCUUGGUGUUAAGUUUGAUUUGGUUAUUAGUAACUUACCAAUAACAAAAAUACUUGUCAAUCACAUGAUGAUCAUUGAUGAAUGAAGAACACAAUCAUCAACAUAUAACAGUCAUCGAUCAUCGAUUAUCACUUAAUGAGUUGACUAAUUGUUGAACACAUAUGAAAUAAAAAAAGAAAAAGAAAAAAGAGGACAAAUUAGGGAUGCCAUUUGAAGACAAAGAUACCAAUUAAGGGUUAGGUCCAUUGGCAUUUGAGGAGUUGUAAUCACCUAGGUAAGGUUGAUGUAGAUAAUGGAGCCUAAAAAUAUGAAGAUGUAGUUGUAAUUUAUGAGCAAAUAUCCUUUGUAGUAGACUAUACAAAGCGGUGCGCAAUUGUUAUGACAAAAACCCAUUUAUUUUCUCAACUCAUCAAUUUUUAGCACUCGCAUUUCUUUUCUUUCAUAAUUAAUUGUUCUUGAUCCUUAUCACGCAAUUCAAUUCCUUUUUGAAUUGCCACCAAACCUGUUCAACCAAAAAAACCAAACAUCAGCUUCUAGUGAAAGGUAUUUUUGUUGAUUGUGACAGAUUUGGCUUUUGUAGAGAAAUAAAUAUUGAAUGCAACUUUUAUAGCCCAUGCAUUGCGUUUCAAAGUACUUUCUAAUUAAUUCUUGAGCUCAUAUGAUUCGCUAAGAUUGUAUAUGGUAUAUUUCUUUACCUUUAUUGAUUCAUCGAUUGCGACAUGUCCGGCUUUCCUAGCAGAACAGGUACUAGAUGCAAUUUUCAUAAUUCAUAUAUUGCAUUUUAGAAUAUUUUAUAAUAAAUUCUUGAGCCCAUUCAAUUCACUAACAUGGUAUAAAAAUAUACUUUUUACCUUUGUCCAGGAAAGCAAAUAGGGUUUCACAUACUUAUUAAAUCUAAUAAUCCAAUUAGCACCAAUAUACACAAUCUUAUGAAUACAAGAAAUAACAACACAUGUAAAAAUUAUUAAGUGCUAUAUUAUUUUAAGUGUACUAAAAAAUCAUUCAGCUAACUGAAUCGUGAGGAUGGCACGAAGCAGGGAAAGAGCAGAUUAUACCGCAAAUUGUUUUUUUUUCUUUUUUUGGGGGUCGUGCACGCCGCAAUUUAAGUGUUUAUUUAUUUAUUAUUUAUUAUUACAUAAAGAAAACAAAUCGACCGUCGAUUUUGUCAAGGGAGUGUCGACAUAUGUCGCGGGGAACCGUUUGGGACUUUGUUCGUGGCACGGGACUUCAAAGAUCCGAGGGCGGGUACCGGCUCGGAUGAGUUCAUGAUGUGUUCAUCCUCCAGCAACGCGAGUUUUGUCUCCGCGGGGCCCAUUUUGUUUUACGGUUUUGCCCUCGCACUCCCUCCGUAUUUCCCACGAGCUGCCACUGGAACUUGGAGAUGGAGAGAGCCUUUUUUUGGCAGAAUCUUUCUUCACUUCUCUCGCCUUGUCCUUCAUCGGUUUGGCAGUAAAAUUUUUAUUUUUAUAGUGCUUUCGAAGCAUUGUGUCGGAUAAUUCAUGCGACUAAUCGAGUGUUGAGUUUUUGUGAAUUAUUUAUAGGAAUCGCAUAAUUAGGUUAAGUUUGAUUUAAAUCAAAAAUGAUAUAAAGCUUGAUAGCCUCUCAUGUCGAAAUGGAGUUUUUUUUUGGAUCUGGAAAAGUACUAUUAAUUACAUUAAAAGUUCUUCGAAAGUGGCCCAAAAAGGGGCAUCAAAAUAUGUUAAUCUCCACAAAAGCUGUGGACUGAAUUAACCAAGAAAAUAAAAGAAUAUCUAAACGAUGGGCCUUGGCUACUUGAACAGUAACUUAAUUAGCCAUUUCAUUGUAACAUAUGAGGAUCGAUUGAAUAAAUUGAAAUAUCAAAUUAUAUUAUGAAUAUUAAUAUUUUCAUUUAUUUGGUUGAACCCGAUUGAUCGGGUCGAAGAAAAUAAAAUAGAGUUUCAUCCAAUAAAUAAUUCUAAGCAAUGACAAGAUCAUUUGAUUAGAAGUUAUCAUCAUCUCUCCCUCUAUAAAGGUUAUAUAUUCCGAAGAUAAACCUAUCAACGCUAGAGCAUGAAAAGUUCAAGCGGAGCACUCAACGUCUUCCUCACCUUAGCUGAUACGCUACUCUGUAGAAGGGGCAUUUCCGUAAAUCCACCCUUCGACAUUAUUCAGCUCCCCUCUCCUUACGUAAGGCCCCCCAAGACACCCCAAACCUAAAGCUCUCUCUCUCUCUCUCUCUCUCUCUCUCUCUGCAAAGUCUUUUGCCAAUGCCGGCGACGAGGACGACCUGACAGAGGAGGAGGAAGCAUGGCGAAGUUCUUUGGGGACGCGGCGUCGGUGCUGACGAAGGUGCUGAUGAGGAAGAGCGUGAGCCUGUUCGCCUAGUUCUCUUGCCUCUUCACCGACCUCGCCUCCGUCGUCGUGUCGGCUCUCCGGUUCUCCACCAUCAUGGCCAGGCAACCUUCUUCUUUCCCUCCUCAUCCUUCUCCGUCUUCCACUUCUGCUGCUGCUGCUUCCACCUCUGCUUCUUCCGCCAGAAGGUACUCUCCGAUCCUGAUGUCCAUGGCCAUCCGACAUCGUGUGUCCUGAGCUCGAUCGAUGCGGUUGAUUUCUUGCCCUCUUGUCUUUUGGGGUCGGUCUACGUGGGGGUCUUCGGAACUGCCCAUGAUUCGUUCGUAUGGCGAUGAGGGGAAUCUAUGCAAUUCUCUGGUUUCCCAGAUGCAAAAUGUUUGUUCUUCUUGAAGAUGGCGCGGUUCUUGCUGGGGCUGCUAUUUGGUACGCCAGUUUGUGUUUAUGAUUAUUGCUCGCGCUUGCGGAUCUAACAGAGGGACUCGACCAGUCCCGGAUCGUGAUUUCAAGCCGCUGGACGGGUUUGAGAUUUCAUUAUGUACAGGAUCCUGUAGGCUUGCGACCGAUCUGUGAUCUGUCUCGCAGAUGAUUAGGAAACUCGAAUUCAACGAGUCGUUUUACUCAAUUGUGUGAUGAGUUGCUUCAUGUAUCAGAAUAUGUAAUAAUCGAUAAUUACUGAUUUACUCCUUUUCCUUUUGACAAUGUAAACAAUGAUUUUUCCAAUCAUCGUGAUCGUCUGAAUUUAGGAAAUUAAGGUGGUUUUAUUAGAUUGUUGACACCCAAAAAUGGCAAAGUUUUGUGGAAUAGCCGACGAGCAGGGUUUGGUCGACAAGAACAAGAUUUGGUGUAAGAAUUAAGACAGUCGAGAAGAUCGGCAAGUCGAUGUCUAGCAUGAUCGACAAGAUUCUUCAUUGAGAAUUUAAGAAUUGAUUGAUAACAACAGACUCUAUUAGAUUUCGACCAAGUAUAAGAGGACAAUCGAUGAAUGGAGUGAAAAAAUGAUUGCUUUGCUAAUUAAAAGGCAAGGGUGGCAAAUUGACGUGAGUCUGUAACUAUUAGAUAGUGGAGUCGAUAAUUUAGGUAUUUGUAAAUUCUUACAGAUAAGUGUCGUUGAUCGAUGAAACCAUAUGUGAAUUUGUGACUAUUCAAUAACUAUGUAUAUGUAAAUGUUGAUGGUGGGUUAUAAACACUGUAUAUGUCGUAAAGGUUCACUCAAUCAAUCUUAGAACAUCCAAUAUUUUUUUUUCUGUAAUCCUUUAAUUUGUAGCUUUAUUUACAUUGCUAGCAACUAUUGUUCCUGGUAUUCUUACCAUUAAGUUCCUAGCUGUUUACUUUCCUGUCUAAAAUCAAUAUAAAAAAAAAAUUAAGCCGUCUAUCAAUUCAUUCAAAUUCAUUGUACUUAAGGAUUUUUCACUUUUUUGGCAAAACAGAUGAAAGUGCAGAACUCGUCUGUUACGAUUUAGCUACUAGUCAACUGAGUCUUUAACUUUUUAAAAAAGUUCAAUUGAGUGAUAAAGUUGUCGCCAAUAGAUUUAUAAUGUUGGAAACUCAAGGUGGCUCUCAAGCUCAUUUGUGGCCAAGUGUUAUUAAUGAAAACUCAUUUGUGGCCAAGUGGUAUUAAUGAAAGCUCAAGUUGGAGAGAUGUAAGAUAUCUAGUGUCGAAACCCCAUUGAUAGUGAGUCGAGGAUUUGAUUAUACAUAACAUUAAGUACUUAUUCUCACUUCUUCCCUUGAAGCAAAUGGAUUCCGUGAUAAACCUUGCAUCCGAGCCUUUGCUUGCUGAGAAAAAGGAAGUCUAGUGCACUUGCCAAAUAAAUAGGUUGGAGAAAGGCUACUCUGAUGACAACUCGUUUCACUGAGGUCCAUAUUAUUGUAAUUCGUAUAUAGUGUCUCCUAACAUACAAUAACUCAGAAAAUUAACGAUCACGAGUGAGCGUCGGUUCUUAUAUGAUGCAAUGCUUACCAAUUCCCUGAGAACUUUAAGGGCAACUCGAGAGAGGAUACAAGCUCUCCCCCAAAUAGUUUGGUUUCUUGAAGUAAACCCUAACCAAACUUCUUUUGACGAAACAGCACAAGAAAAGGCCACCAAACAGAUGCAAUGUGAAACGAAAACGGCUACUUCCUAAAAAAAGUCAACAUUAUAUAUGUGCCCACCUGUACACAUUUGAUUCAAAACCCUCGUCUACAAUCUCUGAUUUCCGUCGGUUUGAUGGGUAGUUGGAUUUGAUGCCGUGCCGCUUUCCGACACUUUAGUAACAAGCUAUUUCCUUCUUCUAGUUCACUCUAAUUAUAGAGAAAUUGUCACCCCCUCCCUCUCUCAAUUUUAAGUUUUGGCCUUUUUCGUCCUUUUAACUUUUGGAGGGGAGGGAUUUGACCUAAAUCUCUCCCUCCCCUCUCAAUUGCUUUUCCUUUUAUUUUCUCUUAUUUCUUUCCUUACUCUCCCAAUCUUAGGUUUGAGAGACUCUAAUCUAAUUUUAGAUUUAAGAGUUUUAAUGAAUGAGUACUUCACCUCUAGUUUCAAUGGUGUUCACAGUAGUUUCGGUGUCAAAUUUGUACUCGUUCAACUUUGGAUAGCUCGCUUUCACAGGUCUUAUAUUGUAGGAGGCCCGUGUCACCAACCAAAACGGACAAAACAUGUACAGCCUUAGAUAGAAAUUUAAAAAAAAAUCACUUUUUAAAAAAAAAAAUGUGUCCAACCAUUCUUUCUUGAAUUUAACACAUAUUGGCACGCCAAUUCUCGUUCGUUUGAUUUUAAUUAUGCAUUUUUAACUUAUUUAUACUUUUUCAGUAAGAAAAACUCAUUCAUGUUUUAUUAAUGUGUUUCGAGUAUAAAUAAUGUAUUUUCUAUUGCUCAUAUUUCAUAUUACAUAUAUUGCAAUACAUGUUUUUAUUUUUAAAAAUGACUUCAGGCCAAUCCAGGUUAUUUCUGGCUUGAAAAUCUCGGGCCUAAAGGCCCAAACCCGCUCAGAUGGAAAAAGUAUAUAUGAUAAACUCGAAAUUCUAGCCAUGGCAUCAGCCUCCAAAUUCAGGCUAGUCUACGCUUUCGGGCUUCAACUCUUUCUUCUUCCCUUCUUUUCAGCUGGGAUUUAUUUUUAGUUCAAUUUUUUUUGCGAAAGUGGGAAUGCAGACUAAAGAUAAAGAUUCCAAUUAAGGGUCAAAUCUGGUGAUGCUUAAGGAGUUGUAACUGCUUGUUGAUAAGGUUGAUAUGCGAUUGUAGAGCCUAAAAAUAUGAAGAUGUGGUUGUAAUCAUCAAUUAAAAUAUGAACUACUUAUAAGGAGUUAUACUUUUUAGUAACCUAUACAAAGCUGUGUGUAAUUGUUACGAGGACAUAACUACCAUCACAAUAACUUAUUUAUUUUCACAAUUUAUCAAUACUCACAUUUCAUUCCCUUGAAAAUUUAAUUAUUCUCGAUCAUUAUUAUGCAAUUCAAUUUUUGUUUGAAUCACCGCUAGACCUAUUCAAUAAAAAACGAAGAUCAACUUUUGUGAAAUGUAUUUCACCAAUUUGGACGGCUCUCAAUUUCUAGUGAAACAGAUAUCUAGUGCUAACUUCCAUAAACUAGGCAUUGUGUUUUCUAGAAUAUUUCAUAAUAAAAUUCUUUGAUCCCGUCCGAUUCACUAAGAUACCGGGAAAAGUAAAUAGUGUUUCACAAAAUUUUGGAUUUGAUAAUAGAAUUGGUACAAUAUUUACAAUCUCAUGAAUAUAAAAAAAAUAAAUUACUCAUGAUGAAUUAUUAGAUCCAAAAGUAAUAAAGAAUUAAGUGUACUAAUUUGUCAAAAAAAGUGUACUAAACAAUUAUUCAGUUAAUUAAAUCGUGAUGAUGGCAUAAGCUAAAGUAGGCUACACUGAGAUUAAAUGCUCCUUUUCUUCUUCUUUUUCUUUUUCUUUUUUCUAUUAUUAUUUUCAAUAAAAACAAGUUUACCGUCCAUUCUGUCAUGGGGGUGUCGACAUAUUUCGGGGGAAAGCUUUGGACUUUGCACGGGGCGACGGGGUUUGAAAAGAUCAAGGGUCGUGUCCGCUCGGGAUGAGUUCAUGAUGUCUUCAUUCUGCAGCGCCUGAUCUUGUCUCCCCUGGGCCCCUCUUUUACGGUUUUGCCCUUACUCGCUCUGUAUCUCCCACGAGCUGCCACUGGAAACUAAUAUGAAAGAGUGCUUUUAAAAAAAAAGAAGCAGAAAAUAUAAGUACACUUAAAAAAUUCAAAAAAUUUAAAAAAUUUAAUGACUUAAUUACACUUUUUAAAAAUUUUCAGAUUUUGUUACACUUUUGUUAUAAAUUUAAAAAUAGCAGAAGAAGAAAGGAUAAGUGCACUUAAAAUCCUAUAAUUCGUCUUGAAAGUGCAAUCGAAUUCUAAAAAAUUACUAAGUACAAUCAAAUUUAAAAAAAAAAUUAAAAAAUGUAAUCAACAAAACGACUUAAUUUGAUCAAACAAAUUCUAAGACUUAAUUGCACUUUUUAAAUUUUUUCAAACUUAAUUACACUUUUGUGAUAACUUUAUGACUUGAUUGCACAUUUUAAAAGUCUUAUAAAUUUUGUGAUAAAUUUUAAGAUUUUCAUUGCACUUAUAAUAUAUAUAUAUAUAUAUAUAUAUAUAUAUAUAUAUAUAUAUAUAUAUAUAUAUAAAUUGUUUCUCUUGCCUUGCCCUCCAUUGGCAUAGCUGCAAAAAAUUUUAAGUGUCGUUGAAGAUUGAUUAAGCAUAUGUUUUUUUGAAUUAUCUAAUAUUUUUCAUUUGAAGGGACAUGUUCAGGUCGAGUUUAAUGUAAAUUAAAAAUGAUAAAAGAGUUUCGAGAACACUUAAAAGAGUUUUAGUUAGCUUGAUUUUAAUAUAUGACCUUUUACUGAACAAGAGAUGGAUAAAUUUAUUUGGAAUCCAAGGGAAUACUGGCUGUUGCAUACCACAAACAAUGGACCCUAUUUUUUUCCUUUUUCUUUUUGCCGGACUUGAUUAAUUGAGUCGAAGAAAUCAAAUAGGGUUUUAUCCAAUAAAUAAUUCUAGCAUUAUAGCUAAAAAAAAAUCUUGACUAAUAUUAGACACACAUAAACUUUUCGAAUUGUAUGAUAAGAACUUUAGAAAGUAAGGCCAGCCUUCAUUUCAAAGUUAUCAUCUCUCCCUCUAUAAAGGUUGUAUUCCUUGGAUAAGCUAUCAAUAACAAUAAAGCAUAAAAAAGUUUUAGCGUAGGAAUGUUUUGCAAAAGAUGAUAUUUCACUUUCAUUUGUCACUAGAGGAGCACACCACAUCUAGUUUGACAAAAGGGCAUUUCGGUAAAUCCACCUCGAACCUAAAUCAGCCUGUUCGCCGAGUUCUCUUGCCUGUUCACAUGGCUGUCCUGUCAAAUAAAGUGCCACGUCAUCAUGUUUUGCUGACUUGGCUUGUCCACUCACCGAAAAUUUUCAUUUAUGUCUCAUAUCUGCAAUGUACAAUUCAUUCAUCAUUCAACAGCCCGUUAAGUGCAAGGCGGCGUGGGGUUUGUGACAUGGGAAGGGGAAUCAACUGCAAUUCUAAAAGCCCAUUUUGGCGGCCUGUGUGCUGCAUCAUCAUCCUUGCAAAACCAUGGCCUUAAAAUUGAACCUAUACUCGUCUUGUCCAUAGCAUUUCCACAAAUUUGGGAUUACAAACUCAAUUCAAUAAUGGACUUUAAUGAACUUCCCAUUUCUCCUUCCAUGCUUUUUGUUCGACAUGAUGCUCUUACGCUACUUGCCGCCACGCCCGGUGUCGUCACUUAUUAGCGAGCCAUCACUCUUGGGAUAUGUGCUGAUAGCUUUGUCUCAUCCUUUAGGUACUAUUUACACAAAAAAAUGACCAAGUCUUUGUAAUCAACAAACGCUGAUUUGAGUGAGUAGAAAGCUUGGUGUUAAGUUUGAUUUGGUUAUAUAUAACUUACCGAUAACAAAAAUACUUGUCGAUCACAUGAUGAUCAUUGAUGACUGAAAAACACGAUCAUCAACAUACAACAGUCAUCGAUAAGCGAUUAUCACUUAAUGACUUGACUAAUUGUUGAACAUAUAGGAAAUAAAAAAAGAAAAAGAAAAAAAGAGGACAAAUUAGGGAUGCCAUUUGAAGACAAAGAUACCAAUUAAAGGUUAGGUCCAUUGGCAUUUGAGGGGUUGUAAUCACCUAGGUAAGGUUGAUGUAGAUAAUGGAACCUAAAAAUAUGAAGAUGCAGUUGUAAUUUAUGAGCAAAUAUACUUUGUAGUAUACUAUGUAAAGCGGUGCGCAAUUGUUAUGACAAAAACCCAUUUAUUUUCUCAACUCAUCAAUUUUCAAUACUCGCAUUUAUUUUCCUUCAUAUUUAAUUGUUCUUGAUCUUUGUUACACAAUUCAAUUCCUUUUUGAAUUGCCACCAAACUCGUUCAACCAAAAAACCAAACAUCGGCUUCUGGUGAAAGGUAUUUUCAUUGAUUGCGAUAGAUCUGGCUUUUUUAACAAAACAAAUAUUGAAUGCAACUUUCAUAAAUCAGGCAUUGCGUUUUUAAGGUACUUUCUAAUAAAUUCUUGAGCCCAUAUGCUUUGCUAAGAUUGUAUGAUGGCAUAUUUCUUUACCUUCAUUGAUUCAUCGAGGCAUGUCCGGCUUUCCUAGCAGAACAAGAACAAUUCAUACAUUGCGUUUUAGAAUACUUUCUAAUAAAUUUUUGAGUCCAUCCGAUUCGCUAACAUAGUAUAAUGAUAUACUUUUUACCUUUGUCCAGGAAUGCAAAUAGGGUUUCACAUACUUAUUAAAUCUAAUAUUCCAAUUAACACCAAUUUACUUAAUAAGUGCUAUUUUAUUUAGUACACUUAAUAAAUAAUUAACUGUACUAAAAAAUCAUUCAGCUAACUGAAUCGUGAGGACUUUGCUCAAAAAAAAAAAAAAAAAACUGAAUCGUGAGGACGGCACGAGCCAGGGAAGGGCAGGCCAUACCACAAAUUGUUUUUUUUUUUUUUUUUUUUGGGUCGUGCACGCCGCAAUUUAAGUGUUCUUUUUGUUUUUAUAUAUUAUUAAGUAAAGAAAACAAAUCGACCGUCGAUUUUGUCAUGGGAGUGUCGACAUAUGUCGCGGGGAACCGUUUGGACUUUGUUCGUGGCACGGGACUUCAAAGAUCCGAGGGCGGGUACCUGCUCGGAUGAGUUCAUGAUGUCUUCAUCCUCCAGCAACCUGAGUUUUGUCUCCGCGGGGCCCAUUUUGUUUUACGGUUUUGCCCUCGCACUCCCUCCGUAUUUCCCACGAGCUGCCACUGGAACUUGGAGAUGGAGAGCGUUUUUAUGGCAGAAUCUUUCUUCACUCCUCUCGCCUUGUCCUUCAUCGGUUUGGCAGUAAAAUUUUUAUUUUUAUAGUGCUUUCGAAGCAUUGUGUCGGAUCAUUCAUGCGAUUAAUCGGGUGUUAGUUUCUGUGAAUUAUUUAUAGGAAACACACAAUUAGGUUAAGUUUGAUUUAAAUGAAAAAUGGUAUAAAGUUUCGAGGAGAGGCUUGAUAGCCUCUCGUGUCGAAAUGAAGGAGAUUUUUUUGUUUUUUGUUUUUUGGAUCUAGAAAAGUACUAUUAAUUAUCAUCAAAAGUUCUUCGACAGUAGCCCAAAAAAGGGGCAUCAAAACAUGGUAAGAUCCACAAAAGUUAUGGACUAAAUUAACCAAGAAAAUAAAAGAGUAUCUAGACGAUGAACCAUGGCUACUUAAUCGAGGUAUCAAUGAAUAAAUUGGAAUAUGGAAUUAUACUAUGAAUAUUACUAUUUUCAUUUUUUUGACUGAAUCGAUUGACAGAAUUGAAGAAAACAAAAUAGAGUUUUCAUUCAAUAAAUAAGUCUAAGCAUGACAAGAACAUUUGAUUAGAAGUUAUCAUCAUCAUCUCUGCCUCUAUAAAGGUUAUAUAUUCUGAAGAUAAACCUAUCAACGGUAGAGCAUGAAAAGUUCAAGCGGAGCACUCAACGUCUCCCUCACCUUAGCUGAUACACUUCUUUGUAGAAGGCGCAUUUCCGUAAAUCCACCCUUCGACAUUAUUCAGCUCCCCUCUCCUUACGUAAAGCCUCCCAAGACGCUGUCCAAUCCAACCCCAAACCAAACCUAGAGCUUCUCUCUCUCUCUCUCUCUCUCUCUCCUCAAAGUCUUUUGCCAAUGCCGGCGACGAGGACGGCCUGACAGAGGAGGAGGAAGCAUGGCGAAGUUCUUUGGGGACGCGGCGUCGGUGCUGAUGAAGGUGCUGAUGAGGAAGAGCAUCAGCCUGUACGCCGAGUUCUCUUACCUCUUCACCGACCUCGCCUCCCUCGUCGUGUCGGCUCUCCGGUUCUCCACCAUCAUGGCCAGGCAACCUUCUUCUUUCCCUCCUCAUCCUUCUCCAUCUUCCACUUCUCCUUCUGCUGCUUCCGCCUCUACUUCUUCUGCCAUAAGGUACUCGCCGAUCCUGAUGUCCAUGGCCAUCCGACACCGUGUGUCCUGAGCUCGAUCGAUGCGGUUGACAUUGUGCUGCUGGAUCUUCCUUUUCUUGCCCUCUUGUCUUUUGGGGUUGGCUUACGUGGGGUGUUCGGAACUUGCCCAUGAUUCGUUCGUAUGGCGAUGAGGGGAAUCUAUGCACGUCUCUGAUUUCCCAGGCGCAAAAUGUUUGUUCUUCUUGAUGGGGCUGCUAUUUGGGACGCCGGUUUGUGUUUAUGAUUAUCGCUUGCGCUUGCGGAUCUAACGGAGGGACUCGACCGGUCGCGUAUCGCGAUUUCGAGCCGCGGGACGGGUUUGAGAUUUCGUUAUGUAUGGGUUCCUGUAGGCUUGCGACCGAUCUGCGAUCUGUCUCGCAGAUGAUUAGGAAACUCGAAUUCAACGAGUCAUUUCGCUCGAUUGUGUGAUAAAUCGCUUCAUGUAUCAGAACAUGUAAUAAUCGAUAAUUACUAAUUUACUCCUUUUCCUUUUCACAAUCUGAACAAUGGUUUUUCCAAUCAUCGUGAUUGUCUGAAUUUAGGAAAGUAAGGUGGUUUUAUUAGAUCAGGUUGUUGACACCCAAAAAUGGCAAAGUGUUGCGAGAUAGCCGAUGAGCAGGGUUCGGUCGAGAAGAACAGAUUUGAUCUGAGAAUUAGGGCAGUCGAGAAGAUCGGCAAGUCGAUGUCUAGCACAAUCAACAAGAUUCUUCAUUGAGGAUUUAAGAAUUGAUCGAUAACAACAGGCUCUAUUAGAUUUUGACCAAGUAUAAGAAGACAAUCGAUGAACGGAGUGAAAAAAUGAUUGCUUUGCUAAUUAAAAGGCAGGGGUGGCAAAUUGACAUGAGUCUAUAACUGUCAAAUGGUGAAGUCGAUAAUUUAGGUAUUUGUAACUUCUUAUAGAUAAUUGUUGUUGAUUAAUGAAACUAUGUGUGAAUUUGUGAUUAUUCAAUAACUGUGUAUAUGUAAAUGUCGAUGGUGGGUUAUAAACACUUUCGGUGUAUAUGUUGUAAAUGUUCACUCAGUCAAUCUUAGAACAUCCAAUGUUCUUUAUUUUCCGUAAUCCUUUACUUUGUAGCAUUAUUUACAUUGCUGGCAACUAUUGUUCCUGGUAUUCUUACCAUUAAGUUUCCAGCCAUUUACUUUCCUGUCUAAAAUCAAUAAAAAUGCCUUCACAACCAUUUAUCAAUUCAUUCAAAUCCAUCAUACUUAAAGAUUUUUCACUUUUCUGGCAAAACUGAUGAAAGUGCAAAACUUGUCUUUUAAGAUUUAGCUACUAAUCAACUGAGUCUUUAAUGUUUUAAAAAAUGUUCAAUCAAGUGAUAAACUAGUCGCCAAUAGAUUUAUAAUGUUGGAAACUCGAUGUGGCUUUCAAGGUCAUUUGUGGCCAAGUGGUAUUAAUGAAAGCUUGAGUUAGAGACAUAUAAGAUAUCCAGUGUCGAAACCCCAUUAAUAAUGAGUUUAGGAUUUGAUUAUACAUAACAUUAAGUACUUAUUCUCACUUAUUCCCUAGAAGCAAAUGGAUUCCAUGAUAAACCUUGCAUCCGAGCCUUUGCUUGCCGGAGGAAAGGAAGUCCAGUGCACUUGCCAAAUAUAUAGGUUGGAGGAAGGCUACUCUGAUGACAACUUGUUUCACUAAGGUCCAUAUUGUCGUAAUUCGUAUGUAGUGUCUCGUAACAUACAAUAACUCAGAAAGUUAAAGAUCGUGAGUGAGCUUCGGUUCUUAUAUGAUGCAAUGCCAAUCAAUUCCCUGAGAAAUUUAGGAGCAACUCGAGCAAGGAUACAAGCUCUCGCCCAAAUAAUUUGGUUUCUUGAAGUAAACCCUAACCAAACUUCUUAUGACGAAACAGCACAAGAAAGGGCCACCAAACAGAUGCAAGGUGAAACGUAAACGGCUGCUUCCUAUAAAAUGUCAACAUUAUGUCCGUGCCCACCUGUAUACAUUUGAUUCAAAACCCUCGUCUACAAUCUCCGAUUUCCGUCGGUCUGAUGGGUAGUCGGAUUUGAUACCGUGCCACUUUCCGAUACUUCCAGCAAGCAAGCUAUUACCAUAUUCUAGUUCACUCUAAUUACAGAGAACUUGUCACCCCCUCUCCCUCCCUCUCUCCCUCUCUCCUUCUUUUAAGUUUUGGCCUUUUUUCGUCUUUCUAACUUUUGGAGGGGAGGGAUUUGACCUAAAUCUCUCCCUCCCCUCUUUAUUGCUUUUCCUUUUAUUUUCUCUUAUUUCUUUCCGUACUCUUCCAAUCUAGAUUUAGGUUUGGGAUUUUGAUCUCCCAAUCUUAGGUUUGAGAGUUUUUCUCUCUAAUUUAAUUUUAGACUUAAGAGUUUUAAUAAACGAGUACUUUACCUCCAAUCUCAAUGGUGUUCAUAGUGGUUUCGAUGUCAAAUUUGUAGUCGUUUAACUUUGGAUAGCUCGCUUUCACAGGUCUUAUAUUAUAGGAGGCCCAUGUCACCAACUAAAACGGACAAAACAUGUACAGCCUUCGAAAUUUAAAAAAAAUCACUUUGUUUUUUAAAUAUGUGUCCAACCAUUCUUUCUUGAAUUUAACGCAUAUUGACACGCCAAUUCUCGUUCGUUUGAUUUUAAUUACGCAUUUUAAACUUAUUUAUACUUUUUCAGUAAGAAAAACUCAUUCAUGUUUUAUAAAAGUGUUUCGAGUAUAAAUAAUGUAUUUUCUAUUACUCAUUUCAUAUUACAUAUAUUGUAAUACAUGUUUUUAUUUUUAAAAAUGACUUCAGGCCAAACCAGGCUAUUUCUGGCUUGAAAAUCUCGGGCCCGAAGGCCCAAACCCGCUCGGAUGGAAAAAGUAUUUAUGAUAAACUCGAAAUUCUAGCCAUGGCAUUAGCCUCCAAAAUCAGGCUAGUCUACGCUUUCGGGCUUCGGCUCUUUCUUCUUCCCUUCUUUUGAGCUGGGAUUUAUUUUUAGUUUAAUUUUUUUGCGAAAAUUUGGGUGUGUUUUGACAAAACUACCCUUGAUUUGCUUAAUAAUGGGUACCUUGAUAAUUCGUUCAAUUAAGUAUCCUUCCAUUAUAUGGCUCAACGUGGCCCCUUUUGACAAAUAAAGUACCACGUCAUCAAGCUUUUGCUGACUUGGCUUGUCCACUCACCGAAAAAAACUGCAUUUUUGCUCUGUUUCUUAUGUCUAAUGUUCAAUUCACUCAUCAGUCAACAACCUGUUCAAUGCGCCGGGGACCGUGUUUGUGAUGUAGCCUUUGUGCCGCAUCAUUGUCCCGGCAAAACCAUGACCUUAAAAUUGAACCUGUGCUCGUCUUGUUCAUUGCAUUUCCAUAAAUUGGGAUUACAAACUUACUUCGAAAAUGAAUUUUAAUAAACUUCCAUAUUUCCUUCCGUGCUUUUUGUUCGACAUGCAACCCUAAUGCUACUUGCUGCCAUGCCAGGUGUCGUCACUUGUCUAGCGAUGGGCGCUGCACUGUCAUUUGUUGCACCUGGUUCCAUUGAUCCUAGCAUAUGUGCCGACACCUCUCUUCCUCUUUAGGUAUUGUUCACAAAAAAAAAAAAAGGACAAUUUUUGUAAUUAACAUGGUGUCGAUUUGAGUGAGUAUAAAACUCGGUGUUAAAUUCAACUUGGUUAUCAGUAAUUUGCCAAUAACAAAAAUAGUUGUUGAUCACAUGAUAAUUAUGGAUGACUAAGGAAUACAUAUGUCGACAUACGAUAGUGUGAUUGGUCAACAAUUAUCACUUAAUGGAUUGGGUAGGUGUUGAAUAUAGAGGAAAGGAAGAAAGACGACCAAGUGGGAAUGCGGAUUGAAGAUAAAGAUACCAAUUAAGGUUCAAGCCUGAUGACGCUUAAAGAGUUGUAACUGCUUGUUGGUAAGGUUGAUGUGCAAUUAUAGAGCCUAAAAAUACGAAGAUGUGGUUGCAAUCAUCAAUUAAAAUAUGAACUACUUACAAGCGGUUAUACUUUGUAGUAGGCUAUACAAAGCCAUGUGUAAUUGUUAUGAGGACAUAACUACCAUCACAAUAACUUAUUUACUUUCAUAAUUUAUCAAUACUCACACUUCAUUUUCUUGAAAAUUUAAUUAUUCUCAAUCAUUAUUAUGCAAUUCAAUUUUUGUCGGAGUCACCGCUAGACCCGUUCAAUAAAAAACGAAGGUCAACCUUUGUGAAAUGUAUUUCACUAAUUUGGACAUCUAGGCAUUGCAUUUUCUAGAAAAUUUCAUAAUAAAAUUUUUUGAUCCCAUCCGAUUCGCUGAGACACCGGGAAAAGCAAAUAGUGGUUCACAAAAUUUCGGAUCUAAUAAUCAAAUCGGUACAAUAUGUACAAUCUUAUGAAUAUAAAAAAUAAAUAAAUUACUCAUGAUGAAUUAUUAGAUCCAAAAGUAAUAAAGAAUUAAGUGUACUAAUUUGACAAAAAAAGUGUACUAAACAAUUAUUCAGUUAAUUAAAUCGUGAUGAUGGCAUAGGCUGAAGUAGGCCCCAGUGAGAUUAUUCAGUGUACUAAAAAAAGUGUUCUUUUUUUCUAUUAUUAUUUUCAAUAAAAACAAGUUGACCGUCCAUUCUGUCAUGGGGGUGUCGACAUAUUUGGAGGGGCAGCUUUGGACUUUGCUCGGGGCGACGGGGUUUGAAAAGAUCGAGGGUCGUGUCCGCUCGGGAUGAGUUCACGAUGGCUUCAUUCUGCAGCGCCUGAUCUUGUCUCCGCCGGGCCCGUCUUUUAUGGUUUUGCCCUUACUCGCUCUGUAUCCCCCACGAACUGCCACUAGAACUCAAUACGAGAGAGUGCUUUAAGAAAACAAAAAAAAGAGAAAGAAGGGAUAAAGUGCACUAUAAAUCUUUUAACAUGUCUUGAAAGUGCAAAAAAAUCGUAAAAAUUUUAAAAAGUACAAUCGAAAUUUAAAACUUUCAACAAAUGCAAUAAGCAAAAUGACUUGAUUUUAUCAAUUUAAGAUUGCAUUUUUUUUUAAAUUUUAGACACAAUUACACUUUUGUGAUAAAUUUUAAGAUUUGAUUGUACAUUUUAAAAAUCUUAUAACUUUUGUGAUAAAUUUUAAGAUUUUCAAUACAUUUAUAUAAUAUAUAUAUAAAUUCUUGCUCUUGCCUUGCCCCCCAUUGGUCUAGCUGCAAAAAAUUUUAAGCACCAUCGAAGGUUGAUCAAGCAUCUGUUUUUGCGAAUUAUUUAUUUUUUUCAUUUGAAGGGGCACGACAAUGUUUAAAAGAGCUUUAGUUAGCUUGAUUUUGAUAUAUGACCUUUUACUAACAAGAGACGGAUGAAUUUAUUUGGAAUCCAAGAUAAUACCGGCUGUUGCAUACCACAAACAAAGGAACCUCUUUUUCUCUUUGCCGGACUUGAUUAAUCGAGAAGAAAUCAAUUAGGGUUUUCUCCAAUAAAUAAUUCUAGCGUUAUAGUUUAAAAAAAAAAAAAAAAUCUUGACUAAUAUUAGACACACAUGAACUUUUCGAAUUGUAUGAUAGGAACUUUACAAAGUAAGGCCAGCCUUCGUUUCAAAGUUAUCAUCUCUCCCUCUAUAAAGGUUGUAUUCCUUGGAUAAGCUAUCAACAACAAUAAAGCAUAAAAAGUUUAAGCGGAGGAACAUUUUGCAAAAGAGCAUAUUUCACUAUCUUUUCACGUGCCACUAGAGGAGCACCCCACAUCUAGUUUGACAAAAGGGCAUUUUGAUAAAUCCACCCCAAACCUAAAUCGGCCCGUUCGCCGAGUUCUCUUGCCUGUUCACAUGGCCGUCCUGUCAAAUAAAGUGCCACGUCAUCAUGUUUUGCUGACUUGGCUUGUCCACUCACCGAAAAUUCUUCAUUUAUGUCUCAUAUUGUAAUGUUCAAUUCAUUCAUCAUUCAACAGCCCGUCAAAUGCAGGGAGGCGUGGGGUCUAAGACAUGGAAGGGGAAUCGACUGCAAUUCUAAAAGUCCAUUUUGGUGGCCUGGGUGCUGCAUCAUCAUCCUUGCAAAACCAUGGCCUUAAAAUUGAACCGAUGCUCGUUUUGUCCAUAGCAUUUCCACAAAUUUGGGAUUACAAACUCAAUUCAAGAAUGGACUUUAGUGAACUUCACAUUUCUCCUUCCAUGCUUUUUGUUCGACAUGCCGCUCUUACGCUACUCGCCGCCACGCCGGGUAUUGUCACUCGUUAGCGAUGGGCGUUGUUAUUUGUUGCACUUAGUGCCAUCACUCUUGGGAUAUGUGCUGACAGCUUUGUCUCGCUCUUUAGAUAUUGUUUACACAAAAAAAUGACCAGGUCCUUGUAAUCAACAAAUGCUGAUUUGAGUGAGUAGAAAGCUUGGUGUUAAGUUUGAUUUGGUUAUUUGUAACUUACCGAUAACAAAAAUACUUGUCAAUCACAUGAAGAUCAUUGAUGACCAAAGAACACACUCAUCAACAUACAAUAAUCAUCGAUCAUUGAUUAUCACUUAAUGAGUUGACUAAUUGUUGAACACAUAGGAAAUAAAAAAAGAAAAAGAAAAAGAAAAGGACAAAUUAGGGAUGCCGUUUGAAAACAAAGAUACCAAUUAAGGGUUAGGUCCAUUGGCAUUUGGGGAGUUGUAAUCACCUAGGUAAGGUUGAUAUAGAUAAUGAAGCCUAAAAAUAUGAAGAUGUAGUUGUAAUUUAUGAGCAAAUAUACUUUGUAGUAGACUAUAUAAAGCAGUGCGUAGUUGUAAUGACAAAAACCCAUUUAUUUUCUCAGCUCAUCAAUUUUCAGUACUCGCAUUUCUUUUCCUUCAUAUUUAAUUGUUCCUUAUCUUUGUUACACAAUUCAAUUCUUUUUUGAAUCGCCACCAAACCCAUUCAACAAAAAACCAAAUAUUAGCUUCUGGUGAAAGGUAUUUUCAUUGAUUACGACAGAUCUGACUGUUGUAGCGAAACAAAUAUUGAAUGCAACUUUCAUAGCUCGUGCAUUGCGUUUUAAGAUACUUUCUAAUAAAUUCUUGAGCCCAUAUGAUUCACUAAUAUUGUAUAAUGGUAUAUUUCUUUACCUUCAUUGAUUCAUUGAUUGUGACACGUCCGGCUUUCCUAGCAAAAUAGGUACAAUUCAUACAUUGCAUUUCAGAAUAUUUUCUAAUAAAUUCUUGGGCCCAUCUGAUUCGCUAACAUAGUAUAAUGAUAUACUUUUUACCUUUGUCCAGGAAAGCAAAUAGGGUUUCACAUACUUAUUAAAUCUAAUAAUCCAAUUAACACCAAUAUACACAAACUUAUGAAUACAAGAAAUAACAACACAUGUAAAAAUUUAUUAAGUGCUAUUUUAAGGAAUUGGAACUUGAAGAUGAGGGCCUUUUUUUGGCAGAAUCUUUCUUCACUCCUCUCGCCUUGUCCUCAUCGGUUUGGCAGUAAUUUUUUUUUUUUAUAGUGCUUUCGAAGCAUUGUGUCGGAUAAUUCAUGCGAUUAAUCGGGUUUUGAUUUUUGUGAAUUAUUUAUAGGAAACACAUCAUUAAGUUAAGUUCGACUUAAAUUGAAAAUGAUACAAAAUUUUGAGGAGACUUGAUAAACUCUUUUGUUGAAAUGAAGGAACUUUUUUUUUUUUUUUGGAUCUGGAAAACUACCAUUGAUUAUCAUCAAAAGUUCUUCGACAGUAGCCCAAAAAAGGGGCAUCAAAACAUGGUAAGAUUCACAAAAGUUGUGAACCGAAUUAAUCAAGAAAAUAAAAGAGUAUCUAAAUGGUGGGCCUUGGCUACUUAAUCGGUAACUUGAUUAGUCAUUCAAUUGUAACAUAUCAUGUAUCGAUGAAUAAAUUGGAAUAAGAAAUUAUACUAAGAAUAUUACUAUUUUCAUUUUUUUGAUUGAAUUGAUUGAUCGGAUCGAAGAAAACAAAAUAGAGUUUUCAUUCAAUAAAUAAUUCUAAGCACGACAAGAACAUUUGAUUAGAAGUUAUCAUCAUUAUCUCUCCCUCGAUAAAGGUUAUAUAUUCCGAAGAUAAACCUAUCAACGGUAGAGCAUGAAAAGUUCAAGCGGAGCACUCAACGUCUCCCUCACCUUAGCUGAUACACUUCUUUGUAGAAGGGGCAUUUCCGUAAAUCCACCCUUCGACAUUAUUCAGCUCCCCUCUCCUUACGUAAGCCCCCCCGAGACACUGUCCAAUCCAACCCCAAACCUAGAGCUUCUCUCUCUCUUUCUCUCUCUCCUCAAAGUCUUUUGCCAAUGCCGGCGACGAGGACGACCUGACAGAGGAGGAGGAAGCAUGGCGAAGUUCUUUGGGGACGCGGCGUCGGUGCUGAUGAAGGUGCUGAUGAGGAAGAGCAUCAGCCUGUACGCCGAGUUCUCUUACCUCUUCACCGACCUCGCCUCCCUCGUCGUGUCGGCUCUCCGGUUCUCCACCAUCAUGGCCAGGCAACCUUCUUCUUUCCCUCCUCAUCCUUCUCCAUCUUCCACUUCUCCUUCUGCUGCUUCCGCCUCUACUUCUUCUGCCAUAAGGUACUCGCCGAUCCUGAUGUCCAUGGCCAUCCGACAUCGUGUGUCCUGAGCUCGAUCGAUGCGGUUGACAUUGGGCUGCUGGAUCUUCCUUUUCUUGCCCUCUUGUCUUUUGGGGUUAGCUUACGUGGGGUGUUUGGAACUUGCCCAUGAUUCGUUCGUAUGGCGAUGAGGGGAAUCUACGCAAGUCUCUGGUUUCCCAGGUGCAAAAUGUUUGUUCUUCUUGAUGAUGGUGUGGUUCUUGUCGAGGCUGCUAUUUGGUACGCCGGUUUGUGUUUUUGAUUAUCGCUUGCGCUUGCGGAUCUAACGGAGGGACUCGACCCGUCCCGGAUCGCGAUUUCCAGCCGCCGGACGGGUUUGAGAUUUCGUUAUGUACAGGAUCCUGUAGGCUUGCGACCGAUCUGCGAUCUGUCUCGCAGAUGAUUAGGAAACUCGAAUACAACGAGUCGUUUUACUCGCUUGUGUGAUGAGUCACUCCAUGUAUCAGAACAUGUAAUAAUCAAUAAUUACUAAUUUACUCUUUUUCUUUUUGACAAUGUCCACAAAGGUUUUUCCAAUCAUCGCGAUUGUCUGAAUUUAUGAAAUUAAGGUGGUUUUAUUAGAUUGUUGACACCCAAAAAUGGCAAAGUGUUAGCCGACGAGCAGUGUUUGGUCGACAAGAGCAAGAUUUGGUGUAAGAAUUAAGGCAGUUGAGAAGAUCGGCAAGUCGAUGUCCAGCACAAUCGACAAGAUUCUUCAUUGAGAAUUUAAGAAUUGAUCGAUAACAACAGACUCUAUUAGAUUUCGACCAAGUUUAAGAGGACAAUCGAUGAAAGGAGUGAAAAAAUGAUUGCUUUGCCGAUUAAAAGGCAGGGGUGGCAAAUUGACGCGAGUCUGUAACUAUUAAUAGUGGAGUCGAUAAUUUAGGUAUUUGUAACUUCUUACAGAUAAGUGUUGUUGAUCGAUGAAACCAUGUGUGAAUUUGUGAUUGUUCAAUAAUUGUGUAUAUGUAAAUGUUGAUGGUGGGUUAUAAACACUUUCAGUGUAUACGUUGUAAAUGUUCACUCAAUCAAUCUUAGAACAUCCAAUGUUCUUUAUUUUC
rnacentral:lncRNA from 1 species